AUCCAAAAUAAUGUGCUGAAGAGUUCCAGCCUUGCUUUUAUUGGAUUGGUGUAGAAUCACAGGCGUGUUCAUCCUAGGACUUUGGGAAGGGUCCUUGGGCAGGCAUUGUCAUUCCCAUGGACCCUGCUCCUCGAUGUGGCUGCUGAUCACUGGUAAUCUGGUGGGCAAGGCUGUGGUGAAGCGAGUAGACCUUUGCUGGAUGCAUCUGCGGUCAUUUGGGGAUGCUGUGGACACACCUUCUGGGUACCACACCUCCCCAGGGUUGGUAAUUCUUCUGGCAUUUCUGGCUUGAUCCCUGUGGGAAAACCAAGAGAAAACCCUCAGCUGGAAGUUUUCAGAUGACUUCAUGCAUCUAAGGAAAAGGUUUCAAGUGAUGCAGUUUUAAUAUGCUUUUCCCACUAUGGCUUUUGCAUUUUGUAAGCCCAAGUUAAUACAUUACUUACCAGGAUCUGAAAACAUAUCAGUGGAUGAAGUGAACCAGGAGUAAUAAAGUAGACUAUUCUUUUUUUUAUUGGUACCAGGGAUUGAACUCUGGUCCUUAUACUUGCAAGGCAUGCAGCGGAACCACUGAGCUAAAUCUCCAGCCCCUAAAGUAGACUGUUGAACAGAAGUCAUGGGCAGGGUGACAAGUGUAUUACAAUGCCCUGCCUAAAGGGAGCAGCAGAUACUGAUCUUCAG
ensembl:lncRNA